CACGUAGGGCGCAAGCGUUGUCCGGAAUUAUUGGGCGUAAAGAGCUCGUAGGCGGUCCGUCACGUCCGCUGUGAAAACCCAGGGCUCAACCCUGGGCUUGCAGUGGAUACGGGCAGACUGGAGUGCGGUAGGGGAGAAUGGAAUUCCUGGUGUAGCGGUGAAAUGCGCAGAUAUCAGGAAGAACACCGAUGGCGAAGGCGGCUCACUGGCCCGGUACUGACGCUGAGGCGCGAAAGCGUGGGGAGCAAACAGG
rnacentral:rRNA from 1 species